rnacentral:rRNA from 1 species
CCUACGGGAGGCAGCAGUGGGGGAUAUUGCACAAUGGGGGAAACCCUGAUGCAGCGACGCCGCGUGGGCGAAGAAGUAUUUCGGUAUGUAAAGCCCUAUCAGCAGGGAAGAAGAAAUGACGGUACCUGAGUAAGAAGCACCGGCUAAAUACGGGCCAGCAGCAGCGGUAAUACGUAUGGUGCAAGCGUUAUCCGGAUUUACUGGGUGGAAAGGGAGGGCAGGCGGCACGGCAAGCCUGAUGUGAAAGCCCGCGGCCCAACCGCGGGACUGCAUUGGGAACUACCGGGCUGGAGUGCCGGAGAGGUAGGCGGAAUUCCUAGUGUAGCGGUGAAAUGCGUAGAUAUUAGGAGGAACACCAGUGGCGAAGGCGGCCUACUGGACGGUGACUGACGCUGAGGCUCGAAAGCGUGGGGAGCAAACAGGAUUAGAUACCCGGGUAGUC